AGGUUAUGAUGCAGACACUUCCUCAACAAAUUCUUAAACCUCUCCCACGCCUCAAAUAAUGAUUCAGUAUGCAAUUGUGCAUAUGUUGUAAUCUCUUGACACAACUU